rnacentral:lncRNA from 1 species
CCGAGAAAUGGCCAGAACCAUGAUCAAUGAAACAAAUAUAGUUAAGCACUUCUAGGCUGAAGCGGUGAAUACAAUGUGUUAUAUUCAGAAUAUAAUCUCUAUUAGACCUAUUCCGGAGAAGACUCCUUAUGAGCUAUGUAAGGGAAGAAAACCCAACAUUUCCUACUUUCAUCCCUUUGGAUGUUCUUGUUUUAUCCUAAAUACUAAAAAUAAUAUGAACAGGUUUGAUUCUAAAGCACAAAAAUGUAUUAUGUGGGGAUACUCAGAACGCUCUAAAGGCUAUAGAGUAUAUAAUACAUAAACACUAAUUACGGAAGAACCAAUACAUGUCAUAUUUGAUGAUAAGCUUGACUUUGAAAAUUCAAAGCUAGUUGAAAAUUUUGCAGAAUUGGAGAUAACACUUGCAAGUUCUAAGGAAAAGGCUAAAGAAUCUGAAGAAGCAGAAAAAGGAACGUCAGAAUCACCUGAAGUCACAAUAAAUCAGAAAAGAUCAAGAAAUAGACAAAACGUUUCUGAAGAAUUGAUUCUGGGGAACAAAAACAAACCUGUCAAAACAAGAUCAACAUUCAAAGGUUCUAAAGAAACACUUCUGGGACUAGUAUCUCUGAUAGAGCCUCUUGAUGACAUUCCACCUUUUGCACAUAAGUCCCUACAAGAAUUAAAUACCAAUAGGUAAGCCAUGAGAUCCAAUGAAUACACAUACAAACCAUAAGUCCAACCAUUGAAAUCAUAACAAUAUAAAACCAACGACAACCCAUUUUCAUUAGCUAACUCAUACUUAUUAAUAUUCUAACAUAAUCCAUUAAUAAUCCACGAAAUGAUUAGCUAAAAUUCUAACUUUUUAUAACUAAUACCUAACAAUUUCACACCAGGAACUGAUAGAAUUGAUUCAAUGUCUAAACAAUUGUCACAAUGCAAUAACAGUUAGCUACUCCAAAACAUCCUAACAAAGUGCAACAAUAGCAGUGAUUUAACUAAUAUUAGCAUUAGCACUAUGUGAUUGAGGGCAUCAUUUGUCACAGAAGCAGCCUCAUUUGGCUUCAAAGCAGCUACACAAAACUCAACCUAUUUCCAUGGAUAACUAACACAGUAAAUGGCUUCAAUUAACAUGACAGUUUUCUAACGUUCAAACCAAUUGACUUAGCUAAGCUCUAACCACAUUCAUGACUGAAUUUCAAGCUUGGUUCCACACCAUAAUUCACUGGUCCAACAAUCAAACUAUAAAUUUCAAACCAACAUGACAACAAGAAUUCCAAAGUUCAUGUAACAUUCAUUCAUAUCCGUGGCAUAAUUCAUAUAACACUUAAGAACAUAACACACUAUCAGUAGAAGUGUGUUUGCAGACUAACUCAGUUGUAGUUCAAUCAAUAAGUAACAAUCUACAUUAACCCUGUUAGCAUAACAACACAAUCCUCUUCAAUUUAACAAACUAACAACUAACCAAUUUAACAUAAAUAAGCAAAUUAACUUCAUCACUAACAACUUAACUAACAUAAUUGACCAAGUCUUUUAAUUACCUUCCUAACCAUGCAACUAACUUAAACUCAGUUUUCUGACUAACAUUUAGCAGAGUUAAUCUAACUGAACUUCAAGCUAACCUAUCUAACCACUAACUAUUUUUUAACUAAUUCUUAACGGAAGGAUAACAACUAACCAAUUUGUUCUCUGAGAAGUAACAAAAUUAAACUAUGUUAGAUUCAAAACUCUAUAUAAUCCAAUCACCCUACCUAAUCAUGGUUAAUCAUAAUUACUCAUAAAUUUUCUUUGUUUUUGAUCUCUGCAUCUCUCUGCAUUUUACUCCCUCGCUCUCCCUCUUCAACCCCUCACACGUAGCUCAAUUCAAUAGCCAUUGAACCUCCACCUUGAAGCUUCAACGUGUUGAGCUUGACCUCUAUACUCGACUCCCUCACACUAAGAACACAGCAAUAAAAUGUAUCAUCAUCACUUAUGGACUAGAGAAUAAGUGUAUAAGGAGAAGAAUAAAGAUUCGAAGGGAGCAAGUUUGGAGUUUACCUCAAUGCAAUCCACCGCCUUCCUCUUUGUUUGCAGCAAAUUCAACAAACUCUGGGACAUAUCACCUAUCCUAGGUAGGCCUUUUCCUCACCAUUUCACUCCAAACUUGUUACAGCCAUGUAGAUUGCUUCCUGAGGAGUCAAAGCCCUAAGGAUUGAGGUUUUUAUUCCUCCUCAUACGUGUUAAUUUUACUUUGAAACAGAUAGGGUUCAUGUGUUCUCUAGUACGAUUUGUUUGUUUGAUUUAGAAUUAGGGAAAUUGAAGUUUGGAUUGUGGAAGAGGAGGUCGAGAUGAAGAGAAUGGUGUGAGGUUUGUGUGAUUUGGGACUCCACCGUUGCUGGUGGUGAUUUCCGGCGCGACAGAGAUGGAAAAGGUACGAUGAGGAGAAGUUUAACAU